UAAAGAAAGUAAAGAAGGGCGCAUGGCGGAUGCCUUGGCUCUCGGAGGCGAUGAAGGACGUGAUAAGCUGCGAUAAGCUUCGGGUAGGUGCAAAUAACCCUUGAUCCGGAGAUUUCCGAAUGGGACAACCUAGCCGUCUGAAGGACGGUUACUCUUACCAGUGUAAGAGAGCUAACGCAGGGAACUGAAACAUCUUAGUACCUGCAGGAAAAGAAAAUAACAAUGAUUCCCCCAGUAGUGGCGAGCGAACGGGGAACAGCCCAAACCAUCCAUGUUACGGCAUGGGUGGGGUUGUAGGACUACGCCGUUGCAUGAAGACAUCAGAGAAGAACUUUCUGGAAAGAAAGACCAUAGAGCAUGACAGUUGCGUAUUCGAACGUUGUCGAAGCAUAGUAGUAUCCUGAGUAGCGCGGAGCACGAGGAAUUCUGCGUGAAUCUGCCGGGACCAUCCGGUAAGGCUAAAUACUCCCGAGAGACCGAUAGCGAACCAGUACCGUGAGGGAAAGGUGAAAAGCACUUCGAACAGAAGAGUGAAAUAGUUCCUGAAACCAUGUGCCUACAAGCGGUCGGAGCACCUUUUGGUGUGACGGCGUGCCUUUUGCAUAAUGAACCUACGAGUUACUUUUUCCGG
rnacentral:rRNA from 1 species